rnacentral:lncRNA from 1 species
AGGUACUUGAAACCCGAACUCGGUUCUCCACGAUACCAUUUCUUUAAGCUGAAUAAUACUAAAUAAUAAUAUAAUUCGAACUUAAUUUACAUACAUCAAAGUUUACUUUCCCAGGUACGUGACCUUCAAAUACAUUCCUUACAAUACCUGACAAUAGAUUCCAUUGUCUUACUAACUAUAACCAUUAACUCAUACUAAAUCUCAUUCGAACAGCUUUUCUUUUCCCUUGUUCGUGCCUGAGCCUUCAGGUCGAUCGUACGUAACUGAAAACAUUUAGUUUAAGCAAGGAUGAGCAUUUGAGUGCCCAGCAAGUAAUAGCAAUUAUAUAUAUAAGCUGAAAGAAUAUAAGUAUUCUCUUUACAUAACACUUCUACAACGAAUCGAAAGUUGUGAAGUAAUCUGUACUGAUAAAAAAUUCACAUAACAACUCUCUUUCAAAUUCUUGAAAUGAGGCUCCACCCAUGAAUAGGGUUUAAGAAACAUACUAUGAACAUUGUUUUUCAUUUUCGAAAAGGUUUAGCAGAAAUUCAUCCGCAAACCGUCAUAACUUACGGGCACGGAGGGUGAUCAGCCCCGUUGUACCCUGUAUUGAUCAAUACUACAUAACUUGAACGAAAUUCAUCGCUCACCCUUUGUCCGCCGAAGCGCAUAAAAAUUUUCCCAUUAUCGGGAUGUUCAUACAUGCCUGGUUCCAAACCCGAAGGUUUUUAAUCUUGCUCAACAAUAAUAUGUAAUUCAACAUAUAUGUAUACGGGUAAUUGACAAAGGUAUAUCAACAUGUGAAUAAAUGCCAUGAUUAUCCAAGUGGGGACACUUGUAUAACCAUUUAGAAAUCAACUUAACAGAAUAUAUAUCUGAGCUAACAUGUUGAUAAUCAAAGCGUACAUAAUC